rnacentral:rRNA from 1 species
UACAGAGGUGGCAAGCGUUGUUCGGAAUUACUGGGCGUAAAGGGCGCGUAGGCGGCCAUCUAAGUCAGACGUGAAAUCCCCCGGCUUAACCUGGGAACUGCGUCUGAUACUGGAAGGCUUGAGUAUGGGAGAGGGAUGUAGAAUUCCAGGUGUAGCGGUGAAAUGCGCAGAUAUCAGGAGGAACACCAGUGGCGAAGGCGGUGCUCUGGGCCGGAACUGACGCUGAGGAGCGAAAGCGUGGGGAGCAAACAGG